CACAUAUUAUCAUUAAUGUAAAAAAUACCCUUUUCUCAUUAAAAAGAUACCUGGAAGGGUUCAAUGUUAUAAUACACUUGAGAUGAAAAUAAAAAUAAUCUUUCUCAUCUAUGAGAAACUUACCUCAAAAAAUAUAUUGGAACAAAAUGAAGUAGUACUAAUGCAUCCAAAAUCUCUUCUAUCUCUUCGAGAGACUCAAAAAACUUCAUUUCCUACUUACACCUUUUGUCACAAUCCAUACCGUCGUGAUUGGCACCCACACUAGCACUCAAGUGGGAGAACCAUUGUUAUAGCUGUCACGACCCAAAAAUCACGAGUCGUGAUGGCACCUAUGUUUCCAACCGAUAGGUAAGCCAACCUAACAAGUAUCACCAAUUCAACUUAAACGAGAAAAGAUAAGUAUCAAACUAAUAUCAAACAUACUAAGUAUUCAAAAUAAAAUGCGGAAUAUAAAAAAAAAACUACCCCAAGAUUUAGUGUCAGAAGUACAAGAGCUUCUAGAAUAGGAUAUAAUUCCAAAGUAAUAUAAAAAUCUAAAUAUAAGAAAUACCCUAUCAAAAUAACAAAAUAACCUAAUAAAUAGAGGUAGAUUGAAGGUGUGAACGGCAGAAUAUCCCAAGCAGCACACCACAACUACAAAUUAAUAAUACUCAUAACCAAUCUCAAAGAAUGUGCCCAAAUUGAAAGUCAAUCUGCACCACAAUAGAGUGCAGCAAGUGUAGUAUGAGUACGAAACCACGUGUAUCCAGUAUAUCUCAUUCACCGACAACGAAGAAAUAGUGACGGGAGUUUAUAUACAAAAAUAUAUAUUUUUUUAAUUUAUUUAUAGAAGUCUAUAUUACACUUACCAGUCAAGUUUCAUCAAAUAGAGAUAAUCAAACAUCAAGAAACAUUCAACGACCAAAUAAAUCACAUAAUCAUCAAUAAUGAAGGAUGUCAUGAGAUGCAAUGCAAUAUGACACCAUGAAAUGAUAUGCCUCAGAAUACCCAGUACUCUCUCAACAAUAUAUACAUGUUACUCCUCGAAAAUACAUUGAGAGUUCAUGACUCAUGGGGGACUCGUGAGGUCCAUAUACCGACACGGAUGAUCUCAACGUGUCUGUGUGGACGAUCUCAACGCACUAUCAUAAUAUCAAACAAUUUCCGCACGAACGAUCUCCACGUGCCCAAAUUACAAUCUAAACAUCUCACUCUCCCCAGCGCGGACGAUCUCCACGUGCCCAACUUAUACUAUGUCACAUGUCUAUGCAUAUGCACAAUAUUAUUUCAAUAUAAGGGGAUGAUGAUGCAUCUCAAUCAAUCAAUAUCAGCACAAUAAAUAACCACCUAAAUUAUCACCACUAUACGGUGAAAUAAAGAAAACACAAUCACACAAGGAUCUCAAGUCAAUAAUAUAUCAGUUAAUGCAUAUAUGCUUUGGCAAUUCACAAAUUACAAUCCGCAUUCUGUAGCAGUCAACUUUCCGUUUUAUAACAGCGGUACUCAUAUCAAUGCCCUUUACACAAUUGAUAUGAGGCCCCCCCCCAUCUUUCUCCCUUAUCCCUUUGUUUAUUUUCAUUUUUAAUCUUUAAUUAGGAAAAUGUCCUUCAACAAGUCUAAAAGUCUUAACAUACCUUGAAUGCUGAAUACGUGUCACGAAUCUUCAAGAUUUUUGCCAUUCCUUUUAGUAAGCUUCAAAUCGUUCCUAAUCUAUCAAUUAUGCAAUAUUUAUAAGUAAACAAAUUCGUACAUAUCCGUAUUUUACUAUAUGUUUUUUCUAGACCCAAAUCUAUAUCCAAGUUCGUAAAUCUUGGUGUCACUAAUGCCAAGUCUCAUAUUUUUAAACUUCAACACUAAGGUUAAGUCUUAAAUUCCAAAAUAUAAUAAAUGUAAUGAUAUCCAAAUACAUCUAAUAUUUAAUAACCUAUCGCAGUAUAUUAAAACUAGAUCCAUAUAACUUGAAGUAGUGAACCACUGGUUACCACCAGUGGCGACCCCAGAACAAUACAACUCCCUUUCCCACUAAUACCAUCAAAGUGACCCCAAUUAUUUACCUUAAAUUGAUUAAUCACAACCAUUAUAAUUUUAAUAAUAAUAAUGUAACAACAAGCUCCACCCACCACGAAAGGACAAACUAAAUUAUUUGCUACUACUCUUUUAUUUAUUUAUUUACUACCAUAUGUAAUCCUUCCAAGUGACUAGAUACUUCUACCAAUUUACAAACCCCCUAGUCAUUGUCAUUAUUAUUAAAAUUCUCAGUUAUCAAUUUAAGUGAUAAAGUGCCCCUCCAAAAAUCAACAAAAAGAAAAACCGACAUACAUCUGUCAACUACUCUCUCAAAACUUCAUAUCUAAACCCAUGAUCUAAUAGUAGUAAUAAUAAUAAUACGGUGAACAUACAUUCAUCAUUAAUCAUAUAAAGAUCAAGAAAAAUUUCAGUCGCUCUUACCUGCAUAUUCUCGUUUGGCCCUCGUGUUUCAGAUUUACGCUUUGGC
rnacentral:lncRNA from 1 species